UACGGGGGGAGCAAGCGUUGUUCGGAUUUACUGGGCGUAAAGGGCGCGUAGGCGGCCAGCACAAGUCGGUUGUGAAAUCUCCGGGCUUAACUCCGAAACUGCAUUCGAUACUGGCGUGCUUGAGGACUGGAGAGGAGACUGGAAUUCAUGGUGUAGCAGUGAAAUGCGUAGAGAUCAUGAGGAAGACCAGUGGCGAAGGCGGGUCUCUGGACAGUUCCUGACACUGAGACACGAAGGCCAGGGGAGCAAACGGG
rnacentral:rRNA from 1 species